rnacentral:rRNA from 1 species
AUUAGCUAGAUGGCGGGGUAACGGCCCACCAUGGCCAUGAUGUUUAGGGGAUCUGAGAGGAUGGCCCCCCACACUGGUACUGAGACACGGACCAGACUCCUACGGGAGGCAGCAGUAAGGAAUAUUGGUCAAUGGGCGGAAGCCUGAACCAGCCAUGCCGCGUGCAGGAAGACGGCCCUACGGGUUGUAAACUGCUUUUGUACCGGAAUAAACCUCUUUUCGUGAAAAGAGCUGAAUGUACGGUAAGAAUAAGGAUCGGCUAACUCCGUGCCAGCAGCCGCGGUAAUACGGAGGAUCCAAGCGUUAUCCGGAUUUAUUGGGUUUAAAGGGUGCGUAGGCGGCCUGUUAAGUCAGAGGUGAAAGGCGGUAGCUUAACUAUCGGAGUGCCUUUGAUACUGACGGGCUUGAAUGCAGCUGAGGUAGGCGGAAUGUGACAAGUAGCGGUGAAAUGCAUAGAUAUGUCACAGAACACCGAUUGCGAAGGCAGCUUACUAAAGUGUGAUUGACGCUGAGGCACGAAAGCGUGGGGAUCAAACAGGAUUAGAUACCCUGGUAGUCCACGCCCUAAACGAUGAAUACUCGAUGUUGGCGAUAUACGGUCAGCGUCUAAGCGAAAGCGUUAAGUAUUCCACCUGGGGAGUACGCCCGCAAGGGUGAAACUCAAAGGAAUUGACGGGGGCCCGCACAAGCG